GCGCCCGUAGUGAAGUGGACAUCACGUUGCCCUCCGGAGGCAGAAGCCCGAGUUCGAGUCUCGGCGGGCGCG
rnacentral:tRNA from 1 species